GUGCUCACUUGGGAGCACAUAUACUAAAAUAGGAAUGAUACAGAGGAGAUUAGCAUGGCCCCUGCCAAGGAUGACGCGCAAAUUUAUGAAGCGUUCCAUAUUUUU
rnacentral:snRNA from 1 species